rnacentral:tRNA from 4 species
GCGGGUAUAGUUUAGUGGUAAAACC